GGCCCCCUCUUGCGGUUACGGGGCCAUCUUGCCCGAGGCGGUGAGGCCCUGGGUUCAAAUCCCAGCGAGUCCA
rnacentral:tRNA from 1 species